rnacentral:lncRNA from 1 species
UUCCUUGCUAGCAAUGAAGUAUGUUGUAAUUCACAGUAGAAGUGACCUACUUAAUUUAUUUAAAUUUUUAUAUAAUAUUCUACCUUUUAAAUACUUCAUAUAUUUUCAUUUUUAGAAAAAAUUUUUGGCUAUGUGAUUAAAAGGCAAUCCUUGUAAAUUGAAAGAAUCCAGUGAACAAUGACAGGAAAGGAAACCAGCAAGCAUAUAUGUGUGAUGGAGAACUCUGAUUCAGAACAUGAGAGAAGCUUGGCAAAUUUACCCCUCAUCUCUCCAUUCUCCUGCAGCUGAGUCCACAUCAUUGUUUUGAUUCAUUGUUAUCAUUCCUGGCCAUCCCUGUCAAAUCUUCAUGGGCCUACAAGCAUUAUUAAGAGGGCUAACAGAGGUAAGACUGGAGUCUCAAUCAAUUUUAUUCUUCAUUUCAAAAUACUUGGUAAUUCACUUGAUUCACUAUUAAUUUUUAUUUAUUUAUUUAUAUAUUUUUUUUUCAGGUAAAUAUAAGCUUUAUGUAUAAAAGAGUGAGCCCCAUUUUCAGGGAAUAUACAGAAAUGGCUGAGAAAAGGGAAAAUGAAUAUUUUCUGGAAUUUUAAUUAUGUAGAAUUUUAAGUAUAUUAUUGAAGAUAUUUCCAAUGGCACAUAACAGAUGAAACAUUGAUUAUAUUAUAAAAUGUAUUUAUUGUUGGGGUGUAUGCCAAUAGCUGUCUUUUACCUAUCUGUUUAUUUUUAACUCUCUACCUUUGAAUGGUUAUGGAAUGCAGUAGUGUAUCAGGACUAUCUUCACAUUAUAAAACUCCUAGUCUGUAGCAAAAGUUUCAGAGAUCAUCUUAACACUGGAUAUGUUCAAGAAGCUCAAGCUUAUUUCCAUGAUUUCAGAAUCUAUAAUAACAAUCCUCUUUAGGAACAAAAACAGUUGGAAUAACAGGAUAUUCACAAUGUUUCAGUGAAAUUAUGAUUAAGUAAAAAAAAAAAAAAAAAAAGGGAAAAAAAAUCCUAAAUUUUAAUUUUGCUAUUGAGGCUACUGCUACCCCUUUCCAUAUUCUUCACAGACACAUACACAGGUAGGAAACAAAACAAGACAAAUACCUCAAUUAGAAAGCCACUGAAACUUGAUUAAUUUCACCUAUAUGUGUAAUUCACAGUUUUAAUGCCCAAAGGUGUGAAAAAAUAUAACCUUUUCAUUUAGAGUGUUUUUUGUUGUUGUUGUUGUUUGUUUGUUUGUUUGUUUGUUGUUAGUAAAGCAGUCAGGCCAAUGAAAAAAGUCAGCAAAUUGCAGUGUAUAUAAAUAUUUAUUCUGAUUUAGAUAUGAAGCAUUGUAUUUACCAGGAAAUAUCACCUGGUCAAUCUGGUAAAUAUUAACCUUGUUAAAAAAGUUAAAAAUUCAUUAAGAUAAAAGUUUUCAAUAACAUAUUAGGAAGUAGUUAGAUAACGUAUAUAACUUUUAAUAAAACAACAGCAUUUUCAUCA